UUUUUUUUUUUAUAAUUGAUAUUUAUUAAGUUUUCAAAGAGUAACAACGAAAAUUUCCAAAAAAGUUUAAAAAUACAAAAAUAACAAAAGUAAUACAAAAAUAUUAAAGAAAAAGAAAAGAAAACCCAGCCGCAAAAGAGAAAAAAAAGAAAAACAUAAAAACAGAAAUAUAUAGUUCUUUACGAUCUCCAUUAACUUCCUUUCUAGACUUCCUCCUCCUCCCCUCUCUUGUUUCUUAGUUUUUAAUUUUCACAGCAAAUCCUUUCUGUUUUUUUCAUAACAAUCUAUCAUUACGUUUCCUUAUUCUAUUUUCCCUCUUGUCAUAUAAAAACUUUAAUUCAAUAUUCAAUAUUUAGCAAAUUCUUACAUCAUUACCUUUUUACAAAUCAUUUACCAAUCCUUACUUAAGCCAUAUAAUUUCAUUCAACACCCUUCAAACAUUUAUAAACAUUCCC
rnacentral:lncRNA from 1 species